CCUACGGGUGGCAGCAGUGAGGAAUAUUGGUCAAUGGACGAGAGUCUGAACCAGCCAAGUAGCGUGAAGGAUGACUGCCCUAUGGGUUGUAAACCUCUUUUAUAUGGGAAUAAAAUGUUCCACGUGUGGGACUUUGUAUGUUCCCGAUGAAUAAGGAUCGGCUAACUCCGUGCCAGCAGCCGCGGUAAUACGGAGGAUCCGAGCGUUAUCCGGAUUUAUUGGGUUUAAAGGGAGCGUAGGUGGAUGGUUAAGUCAGUGGUGAAAGUUUGCGGCUCAACCCUAGAAUUGCAGUUGAAACUGGAAGUCUUGAGUACAGUAGAGGUGUGCGGAAUGCGUGGUGUAGCGGUGAAAUGCUUAGAUAUCACGCAGAACUCCGAUUGCGAAGGCAGCUCACUGGACUGCAACUGACACUGAGGCUCGAAAGUGUGGGUAUCGAACAGGAUUAGAUACCCGGGUAGUC
rnacentral:rRNA from 1 species